GGGCUUUGCCCUGUUCCACUGUCUAGGUACAAGGAAGUUGGGGGAGUCCGUCCCCUCUCCUGAAAGGCUGAGAGCCGAUUCCUCUUCUUUCCCUGGAGUGUCCUCCGCUUCUGAAUUUAAGGAGUCCUCUGCGCUAUGAUCGUCUCCGGUUUUCUCAAGAAUGUGCUGGGCUUCUCUUUCCCCUGAGAUAGCUUCUGAAUGGUUAUGGGGUUGAGGCAAAGUUAACAUGUUACCCCGAUACCAUCCUGGAGUUCAGUAAAUGCUUGUUGAAUGUAUAAAGCGAGACACGAGCGUGCAACAGAGAAAACUCUGCAUUAAACAUCAGAAAAUCUUGCUUUCAAAGUUGUGCAAGGCCCUUGUUCUAUGGACUCUUGGUCGGCGAAGAGCGGAUCCUAAUACUCGCCCUGCCUACCCAAUAAGGCUGCUGCAAGAGUCAAACGAGCGCCUUUACGUGAAAAUGCUCUUUAAACUGCACGGUUUGGCAUCAGUUUCCCUGACAAUCCUAUAGCAUCUCUUAUCCUGGUCACAGAAUGACCUGCUCUCAUCCUCUGCCCCGUACAGAAUAAUCCCCACCCAGAGACAGAAGACGCCCCGAGGCGGACCACGUCCACUUCUCCUCCUGGAAUCAUGUUACUUCUCUGCAAAUUCUUAUAUAUUUCCUCCUCUGGCCUAUUAGAUGUUUCUCAAACUACCCUAUUUAUUGUCACAUAAAAUAAUAAGAAAGAGAAAAUAUUAACCAUGAAAUAUUUUAAUUGCUAAAAAAAUACCCCUGCAUAUUCAAGAUUACAGCUUGUUCACUGUAUUUCACAUUUAGAUAAUAAAGUCUUUUUUCGCCUUCUGACUAAAUAUA